AACUUAGUUUUUUUAAUAGGAAGUAAACAGAAUUAGUUUUGUAACUAUUUUCUAACACACGCUAUCACCUCUAGUUCACCAGCUAUCACCACGAGUUCAGAUUCACACAGAAAGAAAAUCACGACAACAAAUAGCUCACUGUAUCAAAUCAAACGCAAAUGAAACCACAAGUUGAGUCUAUAGACAUUUGAAUCGAGAUCCAAAGGCGAUGAAGCACUUUCGCAUGGGGAUCCCUCAUCUGGCGCCAUAAACUGAAGAUCUCGUGAGGUGAAGAGACCUCCAAGAUGUUCGUGUUUUCGUGUCCCAAUGCGGAAGUUGGGCCACACAUAAAUGUUUCUUUGUCCAACAACUGUAUUAGCCAGCAUCCAACUCGCAGAGCAGCCAGCUCAACACCCGCAUCAAUUGAUCAGCACUCCUGGAGCAAUUACGAUCGCCGCCCGCUGACUUCGCCGCGGAGUUUCCAUGUGGUUAGCAUUUUUUGUUAAAUAAAAUCAAAUCCAAUCAUAAAUAAAUUUAAACUCGUUUGACCACAAACUUAAGCCAAAUGAACACACACAGGCGCACAUGAACUUAUAUCCACAUAUAGAAAAUCCCGAUUGGCAUGUAAGAAGCGUGCAGGUUUUAAUGCGAAUCAAGAUUACACGGCGAAAAAACUACAGACCAAUGAAAGGUUAAAUAAGAAUGUCUAAAUUACUAUUUCAGCAAAUAAAAAAAGACUUAAGAAGAAACAUUAA